rnacentral:rRNA from 1 species
AGAGUUUGAUCCUGGCUCAGGACGAACGCUGGCGGCGUGCCUAAUACAUGCAAGUAGAACGCUGAAGGAGGAGCUUGCUUCUCUGGAUGAGUUGCGAACGGGUGAGUAACGCGUAGGUAACCUGCCUGGUAGCGGGGGAUAACUAUUGGAAACGAUAGCUAAUACCGCAUGACAACAGUUAUUGCAUGAUAGCUGUUUAAAAGGGGCAACUGCUCCACUACCAGAUGGACCUGCGUUGUAUUAGCUAGUUGGUGAGGUAACGGCUCACCAAGGCGACGAUACAUAGCCGACCUGAGAGGGUGAUCGGCCACACUGGGACUGAGACACGGCCCAGACUCCUACGGGAGGCAGCAGAAGGG